UACGUAGGCGGGAAAUUAAGUCAGUAGUGAAAUCCCACAGCUUAACUGUGGAACUGUUAUUGAUACUGGUUUACUUGAAUAUAGUUGAGGUAGGCGGAAUGUGUAAUGUAGCGGUAAAAUGCUUAGAUAUUACACAGAACACCGAUUGCGAAGGCAGCUUACUAAGCUAUGAUUGACGCUGAGGUACGAAGGCGUGGGUAGCGAACAGGAUUAGAUACCCUGGUAGUCC
rnacentral:rRNA from 1 species